ACGCUGGCGGCAUGCCUAACACAUGCAAGUCGAACGGGGGUAGCAAUACCCUAGUGGCGGACGGGUGAGUAAUACGUAGGAAUCUGCCCUUGAGUGGGGGAUAGCCCGGGGAAACUCGGAUUAAUACCGCAUGAUCUCUUUGGAGCAAAGUGGGGGACCGCAAGGCCUCACGCUCUUGGAGGAGCCUACGUCGGAUUAGCUAGUUGGUAGGGUAAAGGCCUACCAAGGCAACGAUCCGUAACUGGUCUGAGAGGAUGAUCAGUCACACCGGAACUGAGACACGGUCCGGACUCCUACGGGAGGCAGCAGUGGGGAAUAUUGGACAAUGGGCGAAAGCCUGAUCCAGCAAUGCCGCGUGUGUGAAGAAGGCCUUCGGGUUGUAAAGCACUUUAGGUCGGAAAGAAAAAGCUUUGGUGAAUAUCCAAAGCCUUGACGGUACCGACAGAAUAAGCACCGGCUAACUCUGUGCCAGCAGCCGCGGUAAUACAGAGGGUGCUAGCGUUAAUCGGAUUUACUGGGCGUAAAGCGUGCGUAGGUGGUUACGAAAGUCGGAUGUGAAAGCCCCGGGCUUAACCUGGGAAUGCCAUUCGAUACUUCGUGACUAGAAUUCGGUAGAGGGAGGCGGAACUCCAGGUGUAGCGGUGAAAUGCGUAGAUAUCUGGAAGAACACCGAUGGCGAAGGCAACCUCCUGGGCCUGAAUUGACACUGAGGCACGAAAGCGUGGGGAGC
rnacentral:rRNA from 1 species